UGCAAGGCCCCAGUUGUACCUAAAAGAAGCAAAAGAAGAAGGUGGUGGGAGUUGGGUGUGAGGUUGUGACAGCAACGCUACAGUUCCAAGGCCUCUUGGAAGGCAGCCAGGUUGAAUCCAGGAAAAAAAGAAAGACUACUGAGAAGGGUGGAAUGCCUUAGCAAAACCCUUGCUGGAAAAAACCAAAAAGAAUCUUUAGAAUGAAAACACAGGUGCUCACAGCAUGCAAAGAAAAGACUGAUCACUACAGAGUGAGGGAACCAGCCUGCCAUAAAGAAAUAAAGUUUCCUGUGAAAUAACACAAUACGUCAGCUCUUAAAAGAGAA